rnacentral:rRNA from 1 species
GACGAACGCUGGCGGCGUGCUUAACACAUGCAAGUCGAACGGAAAGGCCCUGCUUUUGUGGGGUGCUCGAGUGGCGAACGGGUGAGUAACACGUGAGUAACCUGCCCUUGACUUUGGGAUAACUUCAGGAAACUGGGGCUAAUACCGGAUAGGAGCUCCUGCUGCAUGGUGGGGGUUGGAAAGUUUCGGCGGUUGGGGAUGGACUCGCGGCUUAUCAGCUUGUUGGUGGGGUAGUGGCUUACCAAGGCUUUGACGGGUAGCCGGCCUGAGAGGGUGACCGGCCACAUUGGGACUGAGAUACGGCCCAGACGCCUACGGGAGGCAGCAGUGGGGAAUAUUGCACAAUGGGCGGAAGCCGGAUGCAGCAACGCCGCGUGCGGGAUGACGGCCUUCGGGUUGUAAACCGCUUUCGCCUGAGACGAAGCGUGAGUGACGGUAAUGGGUAAAGAAGCACCGGCUAACUACGU